rnacentral:rRNA from 1 species
UGGGGAAUAUUGCACAAUGGGCGAAAGUCUGAUGCAGCAACGCCGCGUGGAGGAUGACACAUUUCGGUGCGUAAACUCCUUUUAUAUAAGAAGAUAAUGACGGUAUUAUAUGAAUAAGCACCGGCUAACUCCGUGCCAGCAGCCGCGGUAAUA